ACUAAAAUCCUUGAUCCUAUUUUUCCUGCACCCAUCCUAUAAUUUGGAUGUAUGUUAAUGUAAAUUUUAAACCCCCGGUCCCAGUAUAUGGAGUUGUGGCAGUCUAGCACUAUGGAACUGACUUGCUUCUUUUUUUCGGAAUGUGCAGAAAGAACUUGCAGGUUUGACAAGAAUCAAUUUAGAGAGGUUGCGAUGGCUUGUGUGUGUGACACAACGGGCCUCUUUUGGUUGUUCAAAAACUGCAAGGAUUUACUCAUGGGAAAUGGUUUUGCAGUAAACUACUUUGUAUAUGCGGUAGGUGCUUCGAUGGUUGGCAUCCCAAAUUGGUGUCAGCUUCAAGGCAAGGACAAGCCAAUCUAUGCACCUCCAGUGGAAAAUGGAACAUGUCCAUUAUACUCAAUGCACAAGAUAUUAGUGUUACAUGAAGAAAAUGGACUGAUAAAAUUUACUACUGACAUGUUGGGUACAUUGACCAUCUUAAGGAAAGAAGGCUCAUGGACCAGAUGGAAAAAGACCCAACUGAAGUGAUGAGGGCUCCACAAAGUACAGAGAAGAGUAGCUAUUUGGAAUUCAUUGU